rnacentral:rRNA from 1 species
AGAGUGAACGCUGGCGGCAGGCCUAAUACAUGCAAGUCGAACGGCAGCACAGCAGAGCUUGCUCUGUGGGUGGCGAGUGGCGGACGGGUGAGGAAUACAUGGGAAUCUGCCCAGUCGUGGGGGAUAACGUAGGGAAACUUACGCUAAUACCGCAUGCGCCCUUCGGGGGAAAGCCGGGGACCUUCGGGCCUGGCGCGAUUGGAUGAGCCCAUGUCGGAUUAGCUAGGUUGGGGGGUAAAGCCCACCAAGGCGACGAUCCGUAGCUGGUCUGAGAGGAUGAUCAGCCACACUGGAACUGAGACACGGUCCAGACCUCCUACGGGAGCAGCAGUAGGGAAUAUUGGACAAGUGGGCG